GCUGUCCUUGAUUACAUAUUCGCUGCAGUUGGUCUUAUUGUCUGAACAUUUUAUUGUGUGGACAAUUUCUGUAUACCUAAAUAAUAUGACUGACCAUUUGUGACUGCAUCUGACUUUUUAAAAACUUCCCUCGCCGGAGGCUAACAUCAGACAGGAAAGGACAUUUGCACCAAGAAUCUUAUGGCAGUGGGCACAACCCUUUUCAAGGCCUUUUUCUCCCUGCCAGCCAGACUGCUGUGAUUUGUGUUCUGUGUUUUGCCUCAAUUGGCUGCUGAGCCAAGAGGAAGGAAUACCGUGGGAAACAUGCCGCCGGACCUCCCUGGAUUUCUCAGGUUGACAAUUGUAUGCUUCAUACUGCUGUCACUGGACUGUGGACUACUGUAACAUUUUUUUUAUUUCAAGUGUGUGGAUUGGACUUGAGGAUGUAAUUGGUCAUUUUAAGUCAUUUACCUUUUGAUCUGCACGCAAAAGGAGGAAGAAGGAUAAAGAAAGGACGUCUCUUUUCUUAUUCACCAAUGAAAGGCCCUUUGAUGAACAAUACUGGGCGUUGUUGUGCAUUGUUGUAGCGAGUGUUUUGUGGGUUUUUGGUCCUUGUGCAGCCAAAGCAUGCAUUUGGGAUUAAUUACUGCGGCUGUUUCCUUUAACCAAAGCACUUGUCUCAGAAUUAGCAUUGAGUGACGCUGUGGCUGUCUAAGCCCAUCGCUUGUAAGAUGUUAAGUUAAAUCACUCCAGUGGUGUCCAGUUCUACCCUAUUCUAUUGUACCAUAUUCUAUUGCAUUUUAUUUUGUUGUACUCUAUUCUAUUGUACCUUAUUCUGUUGUUAGCAUAUUCUAUUAUACAUAUUGUACCGUACUGUAAUAGCUACCAUUUCAGUAUUGAUUUAAUGCAUCACAUCAAGGCACAUGGAUAGAUCUGCUCUGUUGCAGUUAGACUUUUUGGAGGGGUCCAGCUGUUUAAUGAGAAGUAUAAGAUGGGAAGGCUCGUCCUCAGCUGGCAAUUUUAAGUGAGCAAUAUAUCCAACUUUAUGUUGGGCUGGAUUAAUCAAAACGUCUCUCUUCAAGACCUGGCAGAGUAGGUUGUCUAAUCAGUAAAAAAACGAAAGACGUGAGUGUCUACCAACUUUGGAUCAAAAUGAUAAACCCGGAGCUUUCGCUGAUCAAAACCUCAGGCUCCUAAUUAACAUGAUCAGGCACUGGAGUUUUCCUUUUAAAAACAGUUUUCUUCUUUGAUUCAGCAUGACCGAGGAACAGGGAAAUCACACAUUUUAUGUGCUUCAAGUCUAACUUUAAAGAAAGUUCACAAUCUGUCUUUUUUUUUUAAUGACCCAUUACUCGUAUACAAUGCAGAUCCAUGACACUUGAUAACGCAGGCAUUAUGAUUUUGAAUAAUUUUGCACAACAAUGUAUUAACAUAACUUGUAUGGGAAAAAUAAACAGGGUCCACCGAUUAUAAUAUUAUAACUGUCAUUGAAAGGUUUAAGCUUUUAAUGCAUUUAUUUAAUAAGCUACUUUAAAGAGAUAACAAGCAGCUGAAGUGUAUAUUUUAUGUAGUCAGCUUCUGUGGCUGUGCUUUAUAGUGUUGUAUACUUCUCAUGACGUUUACUGUGUAGUUUUACAGCCAUGUGGUGAAUCAAGAUGUAGUCUUACUACAAGUGCCAAGAAGAAUGUUUUUGUUUCUGUGUUUGAUAAAAUGUUUUCAUUCAGGUCAUGGAAAUUGUGAAAUAUUGGUGGUGUGCUCUGAAUUAAAGAUAAAAUGCAGAGCCAAGGCAAGGCUGAGUCAGCCAUCAAAGUCUUUAUCUGUUUUUCUCACUGCCUGUGUGACAUGAUUUUAGAGGAAAGCUGCAUUUUUUCCCCCUGCCACUCCUGACACUAUCCAUGAUCUAAGAGGCCAUUAAUGAGAUAUGUCUCUCAAUCCAGUAUUUAAGACGUGGGGUAGUUUAUUUGGAGCUGUUUAUUCGUGCAAUGUAUGCAGGGAACACGCUUUGCAUCUCCUAAGCUUCUUUAGUCAGUCGUGUGUGGGUAGAGUGAGGUGACCUAUGGG
ensembl:lncRNA